UACGUAGGGUGCGAGCGUUAAUCGGAAUUAUUGGGCGUAAAGGGCGCGUAGGCGGAUAAUUAAGUCCGGUGUGAAAGAUCAGGGCUCAACCCUGAGAGUGCAUCGGAAACUGGUUAUCUUGAGGACAGGAGAGGAAAGUGGAAUUCCACGUGUAGCGGUGAAAUGCGUAGAUAUGUGGAGGAACACCAGUGGCGAAGGCGACUUUCUGGACUGUAACUGACGCUGAGGCGCGAAAGCGUGGGGAGCAAACAGGAUUAGAAACCCUGGUAGU
rnacentral:rRNA from 1 species